rnacentral:rRNA from 1 species
UACGUAGGGUGCGAGCGUUGUCCGGAAUUACUGGGCGUAAAGAGCUUGUAGGUGGUUUGUCGCGUUGUUCGUGAAAUCUCACGGCUUAACUGUGAGCGUGCGGGCGAUACGGGCAGACUAGAGUACUGCAGGGGAGACUGGAAUUCCUGGUGUAGCGGUGAAAUGCGCAGAUAUCAGGAGGAACACCGGUGGCGAAGGCGGGUCUCUGGGCCGGAACUGACGCUAAGGAGCGAAAGCGUGGGGAGCGAACAGG